UACGGAGGGUGCAAGCGUUAAUCGGAAUUACUGGGCGUAAAGCGCACGCAGGUGGCUGAGUCAGUCGAUUGUGAAAGCCCUGGGCUUAACCUGGGAAUUGCAGUCGAUACUACUCAGCUAGAGUAUGGGAGAGGGUAGUGGAAUUCCCGGUGUAGCGGUGAAAUGCGUAGAUAUCUGGAGGAACACCGGUGGCGAAGGCGGCAUCCUGGACCGGCAUUGACGCUGAGGUGCGAAAGCGUGGGGAGCAAACAGG
rnacentral:rRNA from 1 species